UACGGAAGGCAGCAGUGGGGAAUAUUGCACAAUGGGCGAAAGCCUGAUGCAGCUAUGCCGCGUGUAUGAAGAAGGCCUUAGGGUUGUAAAGUACUUUCAUCGGGGAGGAAAAACAAAACUAAUAAUUUUAUUUCUUGACGUUACCCGAAAAAGAAGCACCGGCUAACUCCGUGCCAGCAGCCGCGGUAAUACGGAGGGUGCUAGCGUUAAUCAGAAUUACUGGGCGUAAAGAGCACGUAGGUGGUUUUUUUAAGUCAGAUGUGAAAUCCCUGGGCUUAACCUGGAACUGCAUUUUGAAACUGAAAUACUAGAGUAUCGUAGAGGGAGGUAGAAUUCUAGGUGUAGCGGUGAAAUGCGUAGAUAUCUGGAGGAAUACCUGUGGCGAAAGCGGCCUCCUAAACGAAUACUGACACUGAGUGCGAAAGCGUGGGGAGCAAACGAGGAUUAGAUACC
rnacentral:rRNA from 1 species